UACAAUCACUACAUACAUACAGAAUCAGACACUCAAAACACACAUACAGGUGAACAUUUUAGCCACCCUCCAGUUUCCUACCUUCUGGGAGCAGGAGGGUGGCUUCUGCUGGCUGGAGUUGAUGGGAGUUCAGAGCUUGCUCCUCUCCUGGCAGCUGGAAGGGGUGGGGCUAUACCAACAGAGGUGGAGAUAUGCCGAUCAAGGGCGGCGUUAUAAGGACAAAGGCGGGGUUAUACCAGUAAGGGGGAGGAGUUAACACAUUGUG